rnacentral:snoRNA from 1 species
UUUUGUGAUGACUCCAUGACAUGCAAAAGGCAUUCCUCAAUCUUAAGAUCCAUGUGGAACCUGUCAAUAAUUAAGUUUCAGCCUUGUCUGAUC